rnacentral:rRNA from 1 species
UGAGGAAUAUUGGACAAUGGGUGGAAGCCUGAUCCAGCCAUCCCGCGUGAAGGAUGACGGUUCUAUGGAUUGUAAACUUCUUUUGUACAGGGAUAAACCUGCCCUCGUGAGGGCAGCUGAAGGUACUGUACGAAUAAGCACCGGCUAACUCCGUGCCAGCAGCCGCGGUAAUACGGAGGGUGCGAGCGUUAUCCGGAUUUAUUGGGUUUAAAGGGUCCGUAGGCGGGCCUGUAAGUCAGUGGUGAAAUCUCAUAGCUUAACUAUGAAACUGCCAUUGAUACUGCAGGCCUUGAGUAAAUUUGAAGUGGCUGGAAUAAGUAGUGUAGCGGUGAAAUGCAUAGAUAUUACUUAGAGCACCGAUUGCGAAGGCAGGUCACUAAGAUUUAACUGACGCUGAUGGACGAAAGCGUGGGGAGCGAACA